UUCUAUGGCCAUGCUUCCCUGAACAAGCCCAAUCCCAUCUGAUCUCGGAAGCUAAGCAGGGUUGGGUCUGGUUAGUACUUAGAUGGGAGAAAACCUAGGAAGACCAGGUGCUGUAGGCA
rnacentral:rRNA from 1 species